rnacentral:rRNA from 1 species
GUAGGGGUGCAAGCGUUAUCCGGAAUUAUUGGGCGUAAAGCGAUCACAGGUGGAUAAAAAGGGUCUGGGUGUUAAAUACCCACGGCUCAACCGGGGUCUCGUACCAGAAACCAUUUGUCUAGAGGAAGACAGAGGCAGGUAGAAUUCCCAUUGUAGGGGUUAAAUCCGUAGAUAAUGGGAGGAAUACCAAAAGCGAAGGCAGCCUGCUGGGUCUUUCCUGACACUGCUUGAUCGAAAGCGUGGGGAGCGAAAGGGAUUAGAUACCCCUGUAGUCCACGCCGUAAACGAUGGAUACUCGGUGUGCGGAGCUCCAAUCGCUCUGCGUGCCCAAGCUAACGCGUUAAGUAUCCCGCCUGGGGAGUACGGCCGCAAGGCUA